rnacentral:tRNA from 1 species
GCAGGUAUGGCGGAAUUGGCAGACGCGCUAGCUUCAGGUGCUAGUGGGGGCAACCCCGUGGAGGUUCAAGUCCUCUUACCUGCACUA